AUGGUGAACUUCUUCCUUUUUUUCACUCCCUCUAGGGGGCUACGACAAGGGUGCCCAGCGUCUCCGUACUUAUUCCUGCUAUGUGCGGAAGGAUUAACUUCACUUUUGAACCACUUUGGUGGUUUGAGAGUAGACAAAGGCAUUCGAGUCAGCUACCGAUCUCCGUGGAUCAAUCAUCUUCUUUUCGCAGAUGACAGUCUAAUAUUUAUGCAGGCAAAGGUGGACAGUGCUCAAAGGCUCAAUGAGAUACUGAGAAUUUAUGAGAGGGGCUCAGGGCAGGCUGUCAAUAAAGAGAAAAGCUCUAUUUAUUUCAGUCCGAACACCUAUGCCCCGGAUAAGCUACUGUUGAAGCAAACUUUGAACAUUUCCGUAGAAGCUUUCAACGAGCGUUACCUUGGUCUACCUACAGCUGUGGGUAGGAUCACAAACGGUACUUUUGACCAUAUUGGAGAGAGGAUUCGAAGCAAACUCCAAGGCGGGUCGGAAAGAAUGAUUUCUUGUGCUGGAAGGGAAGUGCGUAUAAAGACUGUAGCCCAAGCUAUACCUAUUUUCAGCAUGAGUUGUUUCAAGUUAACAAAGAAGGUGUGUAAGAGCCUCACUUCCUCCUUCGCUAAGUAUUGGUGGAGUAGCUCCCUGGAUCAUAAUUCAAUGCAUUGGAAGGCUUGGACGGCUUUGGCAAGUCCAAAAGAGAAGGGCGGAAUGGGAUUCCGGGAUCUUGAUCUUUUCAACACAACUCUUCUCGGCAAACAUGGUUGGCGAUUGAUGACGAACCCAUCAUCGCUUUGUGCUCGAGUUCUCAAAGGGAGAUAUUUUCCCACUUGUGAUUUUAUGCAAGCUACAGUCCCGCGUUUUUCCUCGGCGAUGUGGCGUGCUAUCAUUGCGGGGAGGGAUUCUUUGCAAGUCGGUCUGAUCAAACGCAUAGGAGAUGGCAGGUCAGUCUCUAUCUGGGAAGAUAAGUGGAUCCCCGGUACUCUUUCUAUGACUCCGACUGUCAGAAGUGUUAGGAUUUAA
rnacentral:rRNA from 1 species